UGGAUUUUGUGAUAACUUCUGGAGGCAUCUCGGUCAUUUAUUGUGGCUUCACUUCUGGGAAUUGAAGUCCAU